UACGUAGGGGGCAAGCGUUGUCCGGAAUCAUUGGGCGUAAAGCGCGUGUAGGCGGCUCGAUAAGUCUGCUGUGAAAGUUCAGGGCUCAACCCUGAAAUGCCGGUGGAAACUGUCGGGCUAGAGUCCGGAAGAGGCGAGUGAAAUUCCUGGUGUAGCGGUGAAAUGCGCAGAUAUCAGGAGGAACACCAAUGGCGAAGGCAGCUCGCUGGGACGGUACUGACGCUGAGACGCGAAAGCGUGGGGAGCAAACAGG
rnacentral:rRNA from 1 species